CCUACGGGCGGCAGCAGUAGGGAAUAUUGCUCAAUGGGGGAAACCCUGAAGCAGCAACGCCGCGUGGAGGAUGAAGGUUUUCGGAUUGUAAACUCCUUUUGUUAGAGAAGAUAAUGACGGUAUCUAACGAAUAAGCACCGGCUAACGCCGUGCCAGCAGCCGCGGUAAUACGGAGGGUGCAAGGGUUACUCGGAAUCACUGGGCGUAAAGAGCGCGUAGGCGGGAUAGCAAGUCAGAUGUGAAAUCCUAUGGCUUAACCAUAGAACUGCAUUUGAAACUGGUAUUCUAGAGUAUGGGAGAGGUAGGUAGAAUUCUUGGUGUAGGGGUAAAAUGCGUAGAGAUCAAGAGGAAUACUCAUUGCGAAGGCGACCUGCUAGAACAUAACUGACGCUGAUGCGCGAAAGCGUGGGGAGCAAACAGGAUUAGAUACCCGAGUAGUC
rnacentral:rRNA from 1 species